AUUGAACGCUGGCGGUAGGCCUAACACAUGCAAGUCGAACGCGAAAGUCCUUCGGGAUGAGUAGAGUGGCGGACGGGUGAGUAACGCGUAGGAAUCUAUCCUGUAGUGGGGGAUAACGUUUCGAAAGGAACGCUAAUACCGCAUACGCCCUACGGGGGAAAGCGGGGGAGUCUUCGGACCUCGUGCUAGAGGAGGAGCCUGCGUCGGAUUAGCUAGUUGGUGAGGUAAAGGCUCACCAAGGCGACGAUCCGUAGCUGGUCUGAGAGGAUGAUCAGCCACACCGGAACUGAGACACGGUCCGGACUCCUACGGGAGGCAGCAGUGGGGAAUAUUGCGCAAUGGGCGAAAGCCUGACGCAGCCAUACCGCGUGUGUGAAGAAGGCC
rnacentral:rRNA from 1 species